UGGGGCGUGGCCAAGUGGUAAGGCAACGG
rnacentral:tRNA from 1 species